UAGGGAAUCUUCCGCAAUGGGCGAAAGCCUGACGGAGCAACGCCGCGUGAGUGAUGAAGGUCUUCGGAUCGUAAAACUCUGUUAUUAGGGAAGAACAAAUGUGUAAGUAACUAUGCACGUCUUGACGGUACCUAAUCAGAAAGCCACGGCUAACUACGUGCCAGCAGCCGCGGUAAUACGUAGGUGGCAAGCGUUAUCCGGAAUUAUUGGGCGUAAAGCGCGCGUAGGCGGUUUUUUAAGUCUGAUGUGAAAGCCCACGGCUCAACCGUGGAGGGUCAUUGGAAACUGGAAAACUUGAGUGCAGAAGAGGAAAGUGGAAUUCCAUGGGUAGCGGUGAAAUGAGCAGAGAUAUGGAGGAACACCAGUGGCGAAGGCGACUUUCUGGUCUGUAACUGACGCUGAUGUGCGAAAGCGUGGGGAUCAAACAGG
rnacentral:rRNA from 1 species